rnacentral:rRNA from 1 species
ACCGGGACCCCGACACAAGCGGUGGAUUAUGUUGUUUAAUUCGACGCAACGCGAAGAACCUUACCAGGCCUUGACAUACUCGGCAAAGCUCUAGAGAUAGAGUGGAGGUUAUCCGGGAUACAGGUGGUGCAUGGUUGUCGUCAGCUCGUGUCGUGAGAUGUUGGGUUAAGUCCCGCAACGAGCGCAACCCUUGUCUUUAGUUACCAUCAUUCAGUUGGGGACUCUAGAGAGACUGCCGGUGAUAAACCGGAGAAGGUGGGGAUGACGUCAAAUCAUCAUGCCCCUUAUGGCCUGGGCUACAAACGUAAUACAAUGGCGUAUACAAAGGGAUGCGAAAGGGCGACCUGGAGCAAAACUCACAAAGUACGUCUCAGUUCAGAUUGGAGUCUGCAACUCGACUCCAUGAAGGCGGAAUCGCUAGUAAUCGCGGAUCAGCAUGCCGCGGUGAAUACGUUCUCGGGGUUU